GCUCCCGUGGCGGAAUUGGCAUACGCGCUAGUCUUAGGAACUAGUGCCGCAAGGCUUAGAGGUUCGAAUCCUCUCGGGAGCA
rnacentral:tRNA from 1 species